GUUGGGCACAGACGGUGUUUAUGGAAUGAACGCACCAGACAGGGGCGCUGGGCGGUGUGGGGGAGGCGUGCUGCUGGGCUGUUUGCUGGGCAGGGCUGGGUCAGUCUGGGCCCUGCAAGCCAUGCUGGGUCCUGGCUGAGCUGGGAGCUGGCCAGGCCUGAGGGGCCGUGGGAGGGGAGGAAGAUGGAGAUCCGGGUGGGGAAGCUGCUGCCUGCCUUCGGCAGCCUGAGGUGACGGCUCGUCUCCCUGUGCUCAGGUGGACGUGUCCUUCUCACUGUCCCUGGAGCUGCUCUCCUAUCAGAAGCUCCCAGCUGACCAGAUGCUGCCCAGAGUGGACAUCCAGCAGAACGCGAGUGGGGAGAAGGCGAUGGUGUUUACUCAGAAUCUGCUCCUGGAGUACACCAACCACACCACUCAGGUGAGUCCCAGGCCUGCGCCACACCCCGAGGACAGUGGAACCGGGCUGGACUCUUGUUCUGGUGGGAUCACAGGAGGACAAACCCCGACAAGGCCCUCAGAAAUAAGAGGAGCCCUGGCCCUUGCCCUGAGGGCCCAGUCUGCCCUGGAAGAGGCGUUGCCCUGAGGACACACAUGGAGAAAUUUGUGUCAUCCUUCCUCAGUUGUCUCAGGAGCUCAGAACCAGGUGAGGUGUUGCAGGGUGGAAAAUCAGGGAAGGCUUCCUGCAGGAGGCAGCAUGUGAAGCCUGCACACUGUUUAAUGAAGAGAGAAGGGAAACCACACUGAAAGUCAAACCAAGAGAAUGGCUUAAUGGCUGGGGACAGUGAGCGCCUGAGGCAGCUGAGGGACGCCUCUAGGGCUCUAGUGAAUUUCAGGCUUGUGUGGGGAUUCAAGCACCAGGGUGAGCACCACAGGCCCAGUUCCGUGGACUGUGACAAAGUCAUGGGACUAUGGUGUAGAGCUGAGCUGAAGAGGCCAAGGGAAAAGGCAAGACGGCCCAGAACCCACGAGGCGCAGACGGCUGGACAAGAGGUAGGAAGGCUGGAGGGCGGCCCAACCAGGGAGCAGAGGCCACCGAGCUCGAUCGCGGCAUGGGUGAUGGGGAGCAGAUGGUGCCUUCCUGGCCCUUUCCCUGUGCAGAACCCCACCAGCAGCCUCAGGCUUUCAGUGCCAGCCCUGGCCCCUUUCCACCCGCCGUGGAGCUGCCUGUGUGCUCCUGAGAAGCUUGAGUACUUGGGAUUGGUAGGCUCCUGUGUCCCUGAGACCCUAGCUCAGGGCCCAGCCGGCCUGGGCAAGGUCGCCUGGUCCCCACCAAGCAAAAGGCUCUGCCCUCUAGGUGGUGCCCCUGCGGGCCAUCGUGGCCAUGCCCGAGCUGCAGCUCUCCACCAGCUGGGUGGACUUCAGCACCCGCUUUGUGAACCAGAAGCAGGUCUGCGAGGUCUAUCUGAUGAACCUGAGUGGCUGCCGGAGCUACUGGACUGUGCUGACGGGCCAACAGGAGCCAGACAAGGGCCCUGUGGCCUUCGGGGUCUCCCCAGGCAGUGGACUGCUGGAGGCAUGACCAGUCAAUGCGCCCCCAUCCUCUGUCACCCUCCAGGUUUUCUUCACUGCCAGGUACAGUCCCCCCAACCCCCCAGCACUGCCUACAGGCCUGGAGCCCAGGGCCCCCUCCUAACCUUAGCCCUCGUCUCCCCCAGGAACAGUGAGCUGUAUGAAUCCAUGCUGGUGGUAGAAGGUAUGUACCCUCCAAGGCCACGUCUCUACCAGCUCUGA
rnacentral:lncRNA from 1 species